rnacentral:rRNA from 1 species
UAGGGAAUCUUCCGCAAUGGGCGAAAGCCUGACGGAGCAACGCCGCGUGAGUGAAGAAGGAUUUCGGUUCGUAAAGCUCUGUUGUUAGGGAAGAAUGAUUGUGUAGUAACUAUACACAGUAGGGACGGUACCUAACCAGAAAGCCACGGCUAACUACGUGCCAGCAGCCGCGGUAAUACGUAGGUGGCAAGCGUUGUCCGGAAUUAUUGGGCGUAAAGCGCGCGCAGGUGGUUUAAUAAGUCUGAUGUGAAAGCCCACGGCUCAACCGUGGAGGGUCAUUGGAAACUGUUAAACUUGAGUGCAGGAGGGAAAAGUGGAAUUCCUAGUGUAGCGGUGAAAUGCGUAGAGAUUAGGAGGAACACCAGUGGCGAAGGCGGCUUUUUGGCCUGUAACUGACACUGAGGCGCGAAAGCGUGGGGAGCAAACAGGAUUAGAUACCCUGGUAGUCCACGCCGUAAACGAUGAGUGCUAAGUGUUGGUCUCAUAAGAGAUCAGUGCUGCAGCUAACGCAUUAAGCACUCCGCCUGGGGAGUACGACCGCAAGGUUG